rnacentral:lncRNA from 1 species
UUUCUAAACAUGUAUUUAUACAAUCCAUAAAAAAUGAAAACAUCUCUAUCUUUUUUUGUUUUCUCUUAAACCUUUCAAUAUACAUUAAAAUAUUCCAACCAAUUUACAAAGAAGAAGGCGACGCUCAAAUGAGCAAACACUUGCCUUCAAAAUCAUUACCAAAGUUGAACAGCGCGUUCUCUCAAACAGAUCUAGAAACGAACAAGGACCGACGAGCGGAACCUCAGUUGGAAGCGAAGACUCGAAUGACAGAUGACGAACUAACCAAUUUCCGGCGAAGCUCGCUGGCGACAGAGUUGACACGGAAAAGACGAGAGAGUGAGAGGAGUUUGGAAGGAUGAGGCUGUCUCCCUAUUUUUGUCUUCUUCUUAUCAGUUUUUUUCCGCUAGGUCAGCUGGAGUGUGGUUGUUGGUUCGUUUCCGGCGGCUACUGGUUCUGUGAAGGGGAAAUAGGUUGAAGAAGAAAGAGGAUGCCUGUUGGUUUGGUGAGAGGUGAAGAUGAAGGUCCUUGGUUUUUUGUGUGUCUAGAAGAUCACAUUUAGGGUGUGUCUGUUAGGUUUUUGCUAGGUUUCAGAAGAAGAAGCUUAGCUUCUAAAAAUGGAAAACGACUGUGUGUACUGAUAAAAAGACGCAUGUGGUUAUUGCUCUUGUGUCUGGUCUAGGUUUAUAGAGCUUCAUGAAGAAGAAGCUCAUGGGGGUUUGUCCCUUAUGCGGCUGUAAGGUCUUUAGGGUUUCUUGGUUAAGUCCUUUGCUUC